GAACAACAGGUCAUGGCAGUGCGGGUUGGACACGUGUUUGUGCUAUCAUUGCUUCGUUUCUUCAUAAUUGCUGCUUGCUGGCCCUUGUGGCACUGUACCGAGAGACGGAUCCCCCUUGAAGCUGUUCAUGCAUCAUGAAAUACUAGUGUUGCGUCAUGUUAGUUUGAUUAAAUCCGUGUCAAGCUCCCCAUUCUUCUUUGCCUCCCCAUCUUCAGUGCAUUGAUCUCUGUCACGACCAUGGAUGGAUCAAUCUCCUUCAGGACUGUCACAAUGGCCACUAUACAAUGGACUGUGUGUAUGGGCGCCCCUUCCUUUAGAAUAAUGGCCUGUAUGCUAGCGAGCCUUCCACAUAAGCUGUAUAUACACGCAUCAAUAAUUCGUUGCUCUUUUUUUCCCAUAGCUCUUUUUUUCUUUAGCUUUUUUCUUUCUUUCUUUUGACUGAAGCAAGAAUUUCUGCAUUAUCAUUAUUAUUCUCAUGUGUUUUCGUCUUUUCUUGCUGGAAAAGUGAAUGAUGAAAGUCUUCGUUAUGUAAUUUUCUCUCCUUCCAGGGAUUCACUAAUUUUUCAUUCUCCAUUGUCACUCUUCCAUGCUGGGCUUCAAUUUUCUUUUCUUUUUUAAUGUCUUUUUUUUUUUUUGUCUUUUACAAUCUUUUGUUGCCUGUCUUUGCACUAGUUUUGAGCAUGAUUUUAGUGUUUUAUCUGUCUAUAUCUAUGUUUAGUUUUCUAUUGAUUUAACCUGCCCCUCCUUGUUUACAUAUAUGUAGAUAGGUAGGUAGGUAGAUAGAUAGAUAGAUAGAUAGAUAGAUAGGUCGAUAAAUAUAUAGAUAGGUAGAUAUUAGGUAUAUGCGUAUAUGAUAGAUAGGUAGAUAGAUAAAUUUGUAGAUAGAAGAUAUAUAAAUAUGUAGGUAGAUCGAUAGAUAAUUGGAUAGAUAGAUAGAUAGAUAGAUAGAUAGAUAGAUAGAUGUGCAAAUAGAUAGAUAGACAGAUAGAUAGAUAGAUGGAUAGAUAGAUGUGCAAAU